UCACCGGGUGAAAAGUUUGCUU
rnacentral:miRNA from 1 species